AAGCAACUAUUGACCUAUAUUCGGAGUGCAGUCACCAGGAACUAUUCUGAAAAGUCCAUUAAUUCUAUCCUUGAUUAUAUCUCCACUUCUAAACAGGUUAGACUUGAGUUCUUUCUCUUGAUGGUGUCAGUGCGUUACUUUGUACAACAGUAAUGGUUCUGUGGGUUUGGGGUGUUGUUGAUGUGAUGGUUGCCUUUCUUUUUGAGAUGGUCUCUUGUAGCCCAAACUAGCUGUGUGACCAAGGGUACCACUGGGCUCCUGACCCUCCCCUUUCUGCCUCCCAAAUGCUGAUGGACAGGUGCCAUCAUGCCUGCUAAGUCGUCAUUUUAUUUUAAAGAAAGGCCAAUUUACUAAUUACUAGUGUGCUUCAAAAGUAUUUUUAUUGAUUCUGGUACUAAUUAGCAUUUAAAAGUAAUAUAUCCAAGUUAAUCUCUUUAAAUAGUAUCUUCAGAGACUUAAAUACUACCUGUAAAUAACUUGGGCAGACGUUUUUAUUUUUUUCAGACUCCUUGCACCUGUUGUUAUAGCUGUUUUUGGUUUUGUUUUGUUUUUUGGUGGUUUUUUUUUUUUUUUUUUUUUUUUUGGAUGAAGUUGUGUCUGCAUUUAAACUUGGGGCAUUGAGCACUUUAGACAAAUGUUUCCAUUGAAAUUGCACGUGCACACACACACAUUGGGAAUGUGAAAUGUGAACAUGAGUCACAAGUUGUGAUGUUAGAUUAAAGUCCUUGAGAAGAACUUGUCCUGUGCCAGACUCAGUAGGUGCUCUAUACAUGAUUCUAUCAAGGAUGCAUGGUGAUAGCUGAUAAAGGGAAAGAGGAAAGGGGGAAAUGGCUUCUUCUAGAAUGUGGUAGCUAACUAACAAAGGUAAUGAUGAUUUUAUGUAUUCAUCCUAUUUAUUUAUUUUAUUUAUUUUUAAGCUUUGUUACCCUCUGGUGUUUGAACACAGAAUGUUCUCUGUAUCAUUUAGUAUCUGUUUUUGUAAUCCUAACAAGCAUUCUCAGAAUCAGCCUCAUCACACACAUAUACACACACCCAUACUCACCCAUGUACGCACGCACAUAUGCACAUCUGGGAAUAAGGGAAAGGAAACCUUGUCACUUAGUGGCAAUAACUCUAGAGCAUCCUCCUGCUGUGUAAUGAGUUUGAGGCCAGCCUGGCUGGUGGCACAUGUUAACCUUGGGAACAAGGUAAGUUUGAGACCAGCCUGGACUACAUGAGAUACUGUAUCUAAAUAAAUAACACUAAAUUAUGUGGAAACAUAUUUUCUGUUAUUUGCAAACAAGUAUCAUAAAAACAUAUUUGGUACUGUGUUUAUAAAUGUUAUUUCAAAAAUGCUAGGGGACUAGAAUUGAAUAAUUUUAAAACUUGAAGGUUGUAUUCUUCUGUGUGUUAAUUUGAAACUUUUGCGUUUUGAAGAAAAAGUAGCUAUUGUGUGGGUAGCACUCUAACUCCAUACCAUCAGGAACCCUGAGUAAGUAGGCAGCCUUCCUGAGAGUCUCAGACUCUCCGAGAGUUCAGGAUCCAGACACCAAAAACAAAGCUACAAAUAGAGGAGGAUGAGCAGAGACUCUUGAGAUGGUGUAAAACAAUGACCUUUAUGGGGAAAGUGUCACUCUAAUUAGUGAUUAACCAACAGCC
rnacentral:lncRNA from 1 species